GGAGUGGGGUGGGACUUAGGGACUCAGCCUUGUCUUCCUUGUCUGGGGACAGUGGCCCCAAGCCUCCUUUCUCCACUCUCUGCCUCCCCUCUUGCCCCCCCUGCAGUCUCUUUUCCACUUAAUCAGAAUGAGCUUUGUAAACUGUAAACUGGAUCUCAUCGCUUUCAGCUGCCCUGCUCACAAACCUUCCAUGGCUCCCCAGUACCCCUGGGGAUAAAGACCAAAAGGCAGAGCUCAGCCCAUGAGGCCCUGUGUGAAGGCUCUGACUCGAUCACAUUCCAAUUUUCCACUUCUUUGCUGUGCCUCAUUGACCUUCUUCCAUGUCUUCAUUCCCACCAGACUCUUCCCUGCCUCAGGACCUUUGCACAUGCCGAGUCUUCUGCCUAAACAGGCCUCAGCUAAGCGAAUUUUCAUUCAUUCUGCAGAGCUCAGGUCUAAUGUCACUUCCCCAGAGAGGGCUUUUCUGACUCCAGACCAGAGGAAGCAGCUGCCUUGUGGCGAGGACACUCAAGCAGUCAUCCUCCAGAGAAACACGUGCGGCAAGGAUCCUCCAGCCGUGAGAGUGAGCCACCUUGGAAGCAGAUCCUGCAGCCCCAGUCAAGCCUUCAGAUGCCAGCCGUCCGCACCAGCAUCCUGACUGCAACCUCCUGAGAGAUCCUAAACCGGAACCGCCAGCUAAGCCACGCAUGGAUUUCCGACCCUCAGAAAUGGUGUGAGAUGAUAAACGUUUAUUGUUGCUUGAA